rnacentral:rRNA from 1 species
AGUGAACGCUGGCGGUAGGCCUAACACAUGCAAGUCGAACGGCAGCACAGUAAGAGCUUGCUCUUACGGGUGGCGAGUGGCGGACGGGUGAGGAAUACAUCGGAAUCUACUUUUUCGUGGGGGUUAACGUAGGGAAACUUACGCUAAUACCGCAUACGACCUACGGGUGAAAGCAGGGGAUCUUCGGACCUUGCGCGAUUGAAUGAGCCGAUGUCGGAUUAGCUAGUUGGCGGGGUAAAGGCCCACCAAGGCGACGAUCCGUAGCUGGUCUGAGAGGAUGAUCAGCCACACGGGAACUGAGACACGGUCCAGACUCCUACGGGAGGCAGCAGUGGGGAAUAUUGGACAAUGGGCGCAAGCCUGAUCCAGCCAUACCGCGUGGGUGAAGAAGGCCUUCGGGUUGUAAAGCCCUUUUGUCGGGAAAGAAAAGCAGCAGGUUAAUACCCCGCUGUUCUGACGGUACCCAAAGAAUAAGCACCGGCUAACUUCGUG